rnacentral:tRNA from 2 species
ACUCAAGUAGCUUAAAUUUAUAAAGCAUUACAUUGAAGCUGUAAAUAUGACAACAGUCCGUGAGUG